GUCUCCAAGCAAGAUGGCGGAGGAGCCGCAGUCUGUGUUGCAGCUUCCUACUUCAAUUGCUGCUGGAGGGGAAGGACUUACGGAUGUCUCCCCAGAAACAACCACCCCGGAGCCCCCGUCUUCCGCUGCAGUUUCCCCGGGAACAGAGGAACCUGCUGGCGACACCAAGAAAAAAAUUGGUUGUGAAUUCACUCCUUAAACCAAAAACCAAAUUCUUAUGCAGAAUGAAGACUGCUAAGGGAAAGCUAAAGGCAUAGAUGUUACCUUUUUAAGAAACACAUUUUGGAACCUUUAUGACAGUGGUCUCUGGCCGGGCGCGGUGGCUCACUCCUGUAAUCCCAGCACUUUGGUAGGCUGAGGCGGGUGGAUCACCUGAGGUCAAGAGUUCGAGACCAGCCUGGCCAACAUGUUGACAUUUUGCUAAAGGCUGUGGGAGACACUCCUAUUAUGAAAACAAAGAAGUGGGCAGUAGAGCGAACACGAACCAUCCAAGGACUCAUUGACUUCAUCAAAAAGUUUCUUAAACUUGUGGCCUCAGAACAGUUGUUUAUUUAUGUGAAUCAGUCCUUUGCUCCUUCCCCAGACCAAGAAGUUGGAACUCUCUAUGAGUGUUUUGGCAGUGAUGGUAAACUGGUUUUACAUUACUGCAAGUCUCAGGCGUGGGGAUGAACCACAAAGAAAAUCAACUUGCUACUACAUGAAAUGGAUUUUCACGGAAGAGACAGCUCUGAAAAGUUUUGAUGCUUGUGGCAAGAGACUUAACAGAUGUGAUCUAUUUAGUAUGUGUCUACUCUAUGUUUAUGCAUAAGAAAACAUCCAUAGCAUGAAUGGACUCAGAAAAAUGUGAUUUGUAUUAAUGCACCAGUCAUCAUAAAAGAUGGUCAUGAUAGUACACCCAUUGCUCCUACUUGUUACUAUUAUUGCUGCAGAUCUGCCUCCAAGGUUGAAAAGGAGACUAAGACUGUAUAAACAUCUUCAUUGUCAGUUCUCAAAAUGACUGAAAUUGUUUUCAUGGUAAAAGUUAAUAUACUAAAGGGUUCCUUUUUUUUUAAUGUUUACAUUUAUCUCUAUGUUUACCUUUUUAGUCACAUUGACCUGCUGGCUGAAUACCUCAAAUAGUCCAGUAGAGGGCAGUCCACCAGGCAGAAAAGGUUAGGCGUUUUGGUUUCACAUCUUUGCUGGGGAAUAAUAGGGGAAAUGGCUGUUUUUGCUAAUUUUUAGCUAAUAUCUAGCCAGGAGAGCAAGCACAUAGGACAGACUGAAAGACUGUAAUUUUACACAAUACACAUGGCUUAAUUAUUUUAUUGGGAUACAGAAAAAUAUAAAUUCUGGACAAAUAAGUCAUAUACCUGUUUUCAGUCCUAACAUUUAAGGAUUCUUGAGUCCCAAUCACAUAACUGUGGUGUUACUCUGUCAUUUAUAUGGUGUCAAAAGCACUUGAUGAGUAAACCCAGUAGCAUCUUUUUGAGUGUUUCAUAAUGCAUUUUCCAACUUGAAAACAAUAAUUGAAAAAUAGCCUUAUUGUAUAUUUUAUGCCAUGACUAAAAGUGCCAUUUUUACUGAUGCUAUUAGACUGAUAAUUUCUUGAAGUGAAAUUUAACCUUUUUUUCUCUUUAGUAUUAUGUUUAUAAUGCCAUAUUUUUAGAAAGCAUUCCAGAUCAGGCAUGGUGGCUUACACCUGUAAUCCCAGCACUUUGGAAGGCUGAGGUGUGGGGAUUGCGUGAAGCCACAAGUUUGAGACCAGCCUGGUUAGCAAGGCAAGAUCCCCAACUCUACAAAAAAAUAAAAAUUAAAAAAAAAUUAUUAGGCUGCAGAGGCAAGAGGAUCCCCUGAGCCCAGAAGUUCAAGGGUAUAGUGAGUCGUGAUUGUACCACUGCAUUCCUGCUGAGCAACAGAGUGAGACCCCAUCUCAAAAAAGAAAAAAAAAGGCAUUCUAGUAAAUCGAAUGUAAUGUGAAUGGAAUUUCAAAACAGGAUCUAAGAUGGUAUGUAGUAGAAUUCAAAGUAAUAUCAUUUUAAAGUUAAAUGAGUAUGGAAAAGGUCUGUUCUCUAGUUUUGUCCAGUUCAGUUUACUGAAGGAAUAUAUUUAAUUAUAUUCAUAUAUUUAACAAAUAAAAAUAUGUUGAAUUUUCGUAUUGUUUGCCACUGAGGGUUCAGAUGAUAGACCUCAAAAAAUCGAAAAUACUGGUUGAAAUUUGUAGCAUCCAUUUAGUUAUUCUUUUUGACCUAAAUAACUUAAUAGUUUAUUAAAUCUAAGGUUAGCUAAAUAUGUAGCUAACCUUAUUUGUUUUCUUUCCUAACAACUCUGAAGAAUACAUAGGACUUUGCACUUUUUUUUUUUUUUUUUUUUUUUAAAGAGACAGCGUUUCGGUCUUGUUGCCCAGGCUGGACUGUAAUGGCACAAUCUUGGCUCAUUGCAACCUCUACCUCCCGGGUUCAAGUGAUUCUCCUGCCUCAGCCUCCUGAGUAGCUGGGAUUACAGGCACCUGCCACCACACCCGCCUAAUUUUUUGUUAUUUUUAGUGGAGACAGGGUUUUACCAUUUUGGCCAGGCUGGUCUCAAACUCCUGACUGACCUCAGGUGAUCCACCCGCCUUGGCCUCCCAAAGUGCUGGGAUUAUAGGUGUGAGCCACCGUGCCGGGCCUGGACUUUGUACUUUUUCAAAUCAUAUUUAAUUAUUUCUUGAUCUUUACUCAAAGAAUUAUUCUGCGCUAAAUUUGCAACAUUAAACAAUAAUUAAGCCUGGAUCCGAUAAGUUAUUGGGUGACUAGAACCUACAACACAAUUUAUUUUUAAUUUAAACUCUCAAGUCUGAUUAAACUUGGGGGAAAAACUGAACAUUCAGGUGAUAUUUUAAAUUUUCUUUGUGACUAAAUAGAUGUCAUUAAUAUCAUGCUUCAUCUUACUGUGCAUAGAUGACCCAUGGCACACAAAGUAUAUGUAUAAUAUUGCAAUAUUGUACUUCCAUCUUUAAAAGUAUGCCAAAGACUUCAUAAUGAAUUCACCAUAUUUAAGGAAUAAGGCAAAUUAAUGUUUAUCCGAAAUCAAAAUGAGAUUGGAUAAUUCCUGGAAUCUGAUUUCUGUAAGUUUCAGUCCUAAAGGGACCUUAAAUAUCUACUAGAACGAAGUACAGUGUAUUUCUCAGAUUACAUGACAUUAGUCAACCAAUUUAGUUGUAACACAAAGUGAGAAAGCCUUAGGUGUUGAAGGAGUGUGAAAAUAAAAAUCUCUUUUCAUGCAGUUUCUGCUUCAUUUUCCAAGGAUUAUAAUAUGCUGAGUAAACUUUUGGCACUAAGGAAGCCAGCUACAGGCCACGUAAUGAAAACUAUUCAGAAAACAGUUCAGCAAAUACUACUAUUUGAAUACAGUUCAAAUCGUAUUUAUAUAAAUACUCUGCCUACAUUAUUUAACCCAAACUGGAUUAUUCACCAUUCUUUGAAGAUGCCUUGUGUUUUCUGUUAUCUACUUCUGCUCGUGCAGUUUACUUACACCUUCACCCUUUCAAAUCCUAACUCUUCUUCAAGGCCUGAUUCAGAUUUUAACUUUUUAAAGGCUAUCUGAAUCAUUCAAGGAGAAGAUACCCUUUCUCUCAUAAAAACACUUAGAGCAAACUACCACUAUUAAAUCACUUAUUGCAUACUGCCUCAGAGCCAUGUGUCCAGUUAUUCUGGUUUUUAUCUGGUACCCACACACACAUAAUACUUAGUACAUUUCCUUAUAUGUAAAUAAUUAGUAAUGUAACACAUCGAGUGAAUGAAAUUGUGAUUAGCAAAGUAUGACAGCUAAAAACAAAGGAAAUUUUGUAUAGUUUAAGUUUUUGUACAGCAGAAGGUAAUGGAAAAUAUUUGCAACAUAUGACAGUGUUUUUAAUGUCUUAAGUAUAUGAAGAAUUUGUUUCAAUUGGUAAGAAAAGACCAACUGAAAAAUAGGCAAAACAUACCAAAUUUCGAUUCACAAAAAGAUACAAAUGGCCAACAAAACAUGAAACACCUUGAACCCCAUUGGUUACAAAAAAUACAAAUAAAAACAAUGCUGACUGACAAUAAAAAUAAUGUACAUCUUGCUAUUAGCAGAGUUGUGGGGAAAUCCUGUCAUAUUUUGGUGAAUAGAAUAUGAGUUGGUAUAUCACUUUUAGGGGGCCAUUUGGCAAUAUCAAAAACCUUGAAACGUAAGUAUAAACUUCAGUUUGUUCGUAUAACCUGUCAUUCACAUAUUGAGUGCCUACUAUGUCCUAAAUAUUGGAAUAACACUAAUAAAGCUCAUAAGAGACUAA